ensembl:lncRNA
CCAGCACAGAGGUGACAUGUAGAGGUUAUAAAAGAAAGGGUUGUUUUUCUUUCAUAAGAUGCCACGCAUUAUUAGAGAUAUGAUUUAGCAGAGGGCUGUUAGAGUUAGGGUACUAGGAUUGGGCUGCGGUUGGACUUGAUGAUCUUUGAGGUCCUUUCCAACCUGAGUAAUUCUAUGAUUCUAUGAUUAUCUGGAUUUUUCCUAAAUAUAAGUGCAAAACAUUUACUUGACUUUUCUACUUCUUACAGAUUAUGAUUGGCAGUCUUAUCGUGUCCAUUUACUAUCUAUGUGGUACCUUUAUGAUGAUCUCAUACUUUUAAAACUCCUGCUGACUAUAGAUUUCUACUUGCUUACCAUACAACUACAAUUUACAGCCUGUAAUUCUUACUCAUUAACAGCAAUUUACUCUUUUUCAAGUAAUUACUUAUUUGGAUGAAAGUGUUUAGUAUGGGAUCACUUUUUACAUUAGAGGAUUGACCCCAGAGAGAGCCUGUAUGAGUAGCCAGCAAUGUCCUAAAGUCUGACCAAACUCAGAACUUAUGUGAUAUAAAGAGUCACUUGGUGGUGAAAAACAUUCCUCAGAAACCAGGAUUCAUUAAUCCUGCUUAGCACUGAUUUUUUGCCAUAAGCAGUUGUCAAUCAUUUACAUUUGCGUGUUUGAGUUCUUCCUUCUGAUAUUUUCAGCUUUCUGAAGCCAGACUUUUCAAAACACCCAGUCCUGGCUGGGGAUACAUGAUGAUGAUCCCAAUAAACAUUAUCCAGCUGUGAUGGCUAAUAUCUGCACAGCUACUGCUUUGCACUGUCUAACCAGCUGGUAACAUGUAGAUAAAAAUAUCUAGUAGAUAUUACAUUACACACCAGAUGUUAUGCACUGCAUGUUAUACAUUGCAUUCACUGAAGCUAUGCUGUGUCUUCUGUGUGUCUGGAUAAUCCAUAAAUGUGUUGGUAGAUGCACUGGGAAGUAGAUGCACUGCACAUGCUGCAGCACCCAUGACACACAGUUUUUUGUCCCUAGACCUCUUAACGCAGUGAAUUAAAUUCAGUCUUCCUGUUGCCUUUAGUGUUGAUUGUGCUAAUCUCAGACACCAUUCCCAAGGACGCUAAUUCAUAACAAUAUGAGAACAUUCACUCCUGAGUUACUAAUAACUUUGAAGCAGGACAAAACAAUUUUCACAAGCAGUGCAUGUCCUUAGUUUUUGCUCAGUUUAUCCUCCUGAAAUACACAGUAAUGAUUGAUUUAAACAUUCCAGCCAUGGGAGUCUUCCCAGCAGAUUUCAGUGGCAACAAUCAAGACAAGUUUGUUUCUAAAGCAAAAAAUUGUUCCCAAUUCAAUACAUAAGCAAUUACACAAUUUCUUCUCUUAGUAUUUAAGCACUCUUUUCCUGAACUUUCUGAUUUUAUGCUAAAGAAGAUGUCAGACCUUCUCUUGCUUGUCACGCCUUUGCUCCAGCAUGUCAGGAGGGUUGGAGAGCAAAGCCAGCUGAACCACAGUCUAAUGAUAGCUGCUCUUGGCAUUGCAAAUGGCCAGUUGUAAUUUUGCUUAUGAAAUAAAAUUUCUAGCUGUUUCUCACAUAGCACAAGAGACAGCCUGUCUCAGUGCAAAUUGAAUUAUUAUAAUGAAGCAAUCCUCCUUUUCCUGCCAAUCUACCCAUACCCUGAUGAGGUUGUGCCAAGUGAUAAAUACAGACAAUGGCAUUGAAACUGAGAUAUUGACUGGCUCCUUCCAUAAAGUCCCCUCAGGUCUUUAUAGAGGCAUGGAAAGAGAGUCUAGGUUGGGCAAAUGUUCUGUGAUUAUUAGGAUGAGGAUAAUGUAGUAAAAUAUGAGCUCAUUCUUCUUUUGAAUGUCUAAAUGAUUCACUACUUUUAUUAGGAUAGUCUGGCUGGUUGUCGUAUUGAUUUAAUGGAAAUGUGUCACUUCUUCAGCUUUCCAUCUUUAUUUUCUCCUUGAUAUUUGGUUUUGGUUGAAAAAACACAGAAAUAAUAAAUUAACUAGAAACAAAAUGAUCAUCUAAUAACG